rnacentral:rRNA from 1 species
GAUGAACGCUGGCGGCGUGCUUAAUACAUGCAAGUCGAGCGAACGGACGAGAAGCUUGCUUCUCUGAUGUUAGCGGAGGACGGGUGAGUAACACGUGGAUAACCUACCUAUAAGACUGGGAUAACUUCGGGAAACCGGAGCUAAUACCGGAUAAUAUUUUGAACCGCAUGGUUCAAAAGUGAAAGACGGUCUUGCUGUCACUUAUAGAUGGAUCCGCGCUGCAUUAGCUAGUUGGUAAGGUAACGGCUUACCAAGGCAACGAUGCAUAGCCGACCUGAGAGGGUGAUCGGCCACACUGGAACUGAGACACGGUCCAGACUCCUACGGGGGGCAGCAGUAGGGAAUCUUCCGCAAUGGGCGAAAGCCUGACGGAGCAACGCCGCGUGAGUGAUGAAGGUCUUCGGAUCGUAAAACUCUGUUAUUAGGGAAGAACAUAUGUGUAAGUAACUGUGCACAUCUUGACGGUACCUAAUCAGAAAGCCACGGCUAACUACGUG